rnacentral:rRNA from 1 species
AAAGAAAAUUCGAUUCCCUUAGUAGCGGCGAGCGAAACGGGAAGAGCCCAAACCAACAAGCUUGCUUGUUGGGGUUGUAGGACACUCUAUACGGAGUUACAAAGGACGACAUUAGACGAAUCAUCUGGAAAGAUGAAUCAAAGAAGGUAAUAAUCCUGUAGUCGAAAAUGUUGUCUCUCUUGAGUGGAUCCUGAGUACGACGGAACACGUGAAAUUCCGUCGGAAUCUGGGAGGACCAUCUCCUAAGGCUAAAUACUCUCUAGUGACCGAUAGUGAACCAGUACCGUGAGGGAAAGGUGAAAAGCACCCCGGAAGGGGAGUGAAAUAGAACCUGAAACCGUGUGCUUACAAGUAGUCAGAGCCCGUUAAUGGGUGAUGGCGUGCCUUUUGUAGAAUGAACCGGCGAGUUACGAUUUGAUGCAAGGUUAAGCAGUAAAUGUGGAGCCGUAGCGAAAGCGAGUCUGAAUAGGGCGUUUAGUAUUUGGUCGUAGACCCGAAACCAGGUGAUCUACCCUUGGUCAGGUUGAAGUUCAGGUAACACUGAAUGGAGGACCGAACCGACUUACGUUGAAAAGUGAGCGGAUGAACUGAGGGUAGCGGAGAAAUUUCAAUCGAACCUGGAGAUAGCUGGUUCUCUCCGAAAUAGCUUUAGGGCUAGCCUCAAGUGAUGAUUAUUGGAGGUAGAGCACUGUUUGGACGAGGGGCCCCUCUCGGGUUACCGAAUUCAGACAAACUCCGAAUGCCAAUUAAUUUAACUUGGGAGUCAGAACAUGGGUGAUAAGGUCCGUGUUCGAAAGGGAAACAGCCCAGACCACCAGCUAAGGUCCCAAAAUAUAUGUUAAGUGGAAAAGGAUGUGGCGUUGCCCAGACAACUAGGAUGUUGGCUUAGAAGCAGCCAUCAUUUAAAGAGUGCGUAAUAGCUCACUAGUCGAGUGACACUGCGCCGAAAAUGUACCGGGGCUAAACAUAUUACCGAAGCUGUGGAUUGUCCUUUGGACAAUGGUAGGAGAGCGUUCUAAGGGCGUUGAAGCAUGAUCGUAAGGACAUGUGGAGCGCUUAGAAGUGAGAAUGCCGGUGUGAGUAGCGAAAGACGGGUGAGAAUCCCGUCCACCGAUUGACUAAGGUUUCCAGAGGAAGGCUCGUCCGCUCUGGGUUAGUCGGGUCCUAAGCUGAGGCCGACAGGCGUAGGCGAUGGAUAACAGGUUGAUAUUCCUGUACCACCUAUAAUCGUUUUAAUCGAUGGGGGGACGCAGUAGGAUAGGCGAAGCGUGCGAUUGGAUUGCACGUCUAAGCAGUAAGGCUGAGUAUUAGGCAAAUCCGGUACUCGUUAAGGCUGAGCUGUGAUGGGGAGAAGACAUUGUGUCUUCGAGUCGUUGAUUUCACACUGCCGAGAAAAGCCUCUAGAUAGAAAAUAGGUGCCCGUACCGCAAACCGACACAGGUAGUCAAGAUGAGAAUUCUAAGGUGAGCGAGCGAACUCUCGUUAAGGAACUCGGCAAAAUGACCCCGUAACUUCGGGAGAAGGGGUGCUCUUUAGGGUUAACGCCCAGAAGAGCCGCAGUGAAUAGGCCCAAGCGACUGUUUAUCAAAAACACAGGUCUCUGCUAAACCGUAAGGUGAUGUAUAGGGGCUGACGCCUGCCCGGUGCUGGAAGGUUAAGAGGAGUGGUUAGCUUCUGCGAAGCUACGAAUCGAAGCCCCAGUAAACGGCGGCCGUAACUAUAACGGUCCUAAGGUAGCGAAAUUCCUUGUCGGGUAAGUUCCGACCCGCACGAAAGGCGUAACGAUUUGGGCACUGUCUCAACGAGAGACUCGGUGAAAUCAUAGUACCUGUGAAGAUGCAGGUUACCCGCGACAGGACGGAAAGACCCCGUGGAGCUUUACUGUAGCCUGAUAUUGAAAUUCGGCACAGCUUGUACAGGAUAGGUAGGAGCCUUUGAAACGUGAGCGCUAGCUUACGUGGAGGCGCUGGUGGGAUACUACCCUAGCUGUGUUGGCUUUCUAACCCGCACCACUUAUCGUGGUGGGAGACAGUGUCAGGCGGGCAGUUUGACUGGGGCGGUCGCCUCCUAAAAGGGAACGGAGGCGCUCAAAGG